rnacentral:rRNA from 1 species
GAUGAACGCUGGCGGCGUGCCUAAUACAUGCAAGUCGAGCGAACAGACCAGGAGCUUGCUCCUCUGACGUUAGCGGCGGACGGGUGAGUAACACGUGGAUAACCUACCUAUAAGACUGGGAUAACUUCGGGAAACCGGAGCUAAUACCGGAUAAUAUAUUGAACCGCAUGGUUCAAUAGUGAAAGACGGUUUUGCUGUCACUUAUAGAUGGAUCCGCGCCGCAUUAGCUAGUUGGUAAGGUAACGGCUUACCAAGGCGACGAUGCGUAGCCGACCUGAGAGGGUGAUCGGCCACACUGGAACUGAGACACGGUCCAGACUCCUACGGGAGGCAGCAGUAGGGAAUCUUCCGCAAUGGGCGAAAGCCUGACGGAGCAACGCCGCGUGAGUGAUGAAGGUCUUCGGAUCGUAAAACUCUGUUAUUAGGGAAGAACAAAUGUGUAAGUAACUAUGCACGUCUUGACGGUACCUAAUCAGAAAGCCACGGCUAACUACGUG